AUUUUCUUUAAAUUUAAAGAAUUUGGCGGUUGUUUAGUCUAAUCAGAGGAACCUGCUUUUGUUAUCGAUACAACACGUAAAAUCUUACUUAUUUUUGUUUUUAGUUUGUAUACCAUCAUUAUCAGAUAAUAUUAUAAAAAUAAAAUUAUUAAAUGUAAUUGUAUUAGUAAAAUUAGAUCAAGGUGCAGCUUAUAGGUAAGUUAAAGUGGGUUACAAUAGGGGCUACUUAGACGGAGAUAAAUAGGAAUUUAUUUUUAGGAAGGAGGAUUUGAUUGUAAUAUAAGUUUAAUAAGGUUAGGAGAUAAGAGCUCUAAACUAUGUACACAUCGCC
rnacentral:rRNA from 1 species